AUGGACUUGGGUGACCACUUCGAACGUUCCGGGCCGACGCAUUUGAUGGCAAGAACGAUUGACUGGGACAAGGAGGAGCACCGCCGCUGCGUCGCCGCUAGCCUUGUCAACAGCACGUACGUCAUGGAGAAGGACCGACGCCGAUGGAGCAGGGCGCAACUCGCGCCGGCAUGGUGGACGAGCUUUCACUUUCACUUGGAGCACACGCGCCUACUUGAGGACGAACAUUCCAUCUUUGGUGCUAUUUACAGGCACGUGCCGCCGCCGCCGGGGCAGCAUCAUCCCUCCGCUCCACACUACAUCGUCGCCUUCAGGGGCACCAUGCUGCGGCACAUGGUGGAUGACAUGCACCUUAACGUACAGAUCAUGACCAACACCGUGCAUGACUCCAUCCGCUCGCAGCGCGCUCACGCGGCGGUCCGCAACCUCCUCGCGGCCGUCGACAGCCGAUACAUCGUCUGGCUCGCAGGCCACUCUCAGGGUGCGUCGCUGGCGCUGGAGGUUGGGCGGGACCUAAUGCGAAACGGCCGGCGCAACCUCCCGACCUUUCUCUUCAAUCCGCCGCAUGUAUCGUUGGCGCCAGUCAUCAACUUGACGCAUUCGGCGGCGGACGACAAGAGGGAGCUGUACGUCUUGAGCAACCUCGUCAAGGCUGAGCUCGGGAAGGUCCUCCCUCCCCACCGGAAGCGCAUGGAGCAGCUGUUCGAGCAGCUGUCCUCGUGGGCACCCAAGCUGUACGUGCACGAGAAGGACUUCAUCUGCCAGGGCUUCAUCGACUACUUCGAGCAGAGGGAGCAGCUGGAGAGGCGCUUCCGCGGCGCUGCCAGGUUUGCAACGGUACUCUCCUACCGUGACAUGCUCAUUCACCUGCUCGGCGUGGACAAGGAGCCGAGACCGCACCUCCUGCCAUCAGCAACGUUGUGGAAGAACUCGACCGGUUGCCGCCUUCGAUCGCACCGUCUCAAGCUAUGGUGGAAACCGGACAGUGAACUUAGGUUGACCCAAAGGCGUCACACAUAUUAA
rnacentral:rRNA from 1 species